rnacentral:lncRNA from 1 species
AAAUAGUAACAAAAAGUAGUCUUGCGAACUACGUUUGACCUGAUUCUUGUCACCACAAGAUACGUAGGCAGCCUUACGGUUCGAUCAUACCAAAUAAAAUAUUUCAUAAUCCCACUAAGUCGAGAGCGGGAAAUUCCAUUAAUAAAGAAAAGAAAUAGGGAAAAUAGAUUCAAAUUUCCUUGUUUUAGAAAUUGGGGCAAAUUUUUUAGAAUGGACUCCAAAAGUUGUAAAUAAAUUAACCCGUUGUCUUAGUUAUUUUGAGCCUCUAUGAUAUCUUUUUUUUCCUAACCCUGUCCAAAAGCACAUUGCAGUCCAAAAAAGACCUUCCAGAUAAUCUUUGAGAGUGUUGAGUUUAGACAUGCCAAGAGUAUAUGAUGUUUUUACCAUAGUUAAUGCCUUGUCAUCUGCAGAAUAAGAGGAAAUAAGAAGAAAAGAACAAAAUGAGAGAGUCUUAUUGGUGAAAAUCUUCACAGGCACCAUAAGGCGAUGGUGAGUUGAGAGAAAUAACAAAAUGAGAGAGGCUUGAUAGUGAAACCCUUCGGGCACUACAAGUCGAAUAAGAAUCGUGAAUCAGAUUGGAUAAUCGAAACAUUGAAGCUCAGUUUCACGGUUUAAGGGUAUAACAAGAGUUGAACAUCAAACUUGCGUGACAGAUUAGGCCGCAGGUUCAUGUCAUGGUCAUUAGAGUUGGUAUCCACAUCUGAUAAGUUUCUACUUUGUAGUUUUCUUGUUAGGAAUCAUAUCUUUCCAUUAUCCUUUACGAUGUUCCUUUUGUCUUGUUUACUUCCUCUUCCUGAGUCUGUUUGGUCAGAACAAGUGAGAAAUGACUUCAAAAUUUGCCACCAGCUUUUCAAUUGCACAAUACGGGAUCUGACUAGCGCAUCAAAGUUGUUUAAGUCAGGAAAGAACAGCAUGCACACUGAGUGGGUGGCAAUCGAAGUGCUUUAGGAUUCAUGUGAAGCAUAAAGGUUCUGUAUAUGUCAAUUCAUGAACAAUGCAAUAGAUAGAGGGUGUUCGGUUUGAACGAUCAAUGGUAUUUUCUGUGAUAAGGUUGAUAGAGGAAGUGGUUAACCAAUAAAAAUCAAGGUCUUCCAAGUGGAAAUUAAAGUUAUCAUGGCAAGUACAGGAGCACCAGACCUCAAGGACAAGGCCGAUGGCAUAUGUCAGGAAAGAACAACAAGUGCAUUGAGUUGGUAACAACUAACGUGCUUUGGGAUUCAUGUGAAAUACAAAGGUUCGGUAUAUGUCAAUUCAUGAGCACAAUGCAACAGAUGAAUGGUAGUGGGAUCGAACGGAUCAGAGGUAUUUUCCGUGCUAAGGGUGACAGAGAAAGUGGUCAGUCAAUAAACAGGCAAGGUCUUUCGAGUUGAAAUCCAAGUUAUCAUGGGAAGUGAAGGAGCAAUCGCUCUCGAAGUCAAGGCCACAAACCAACCACCAUGUUUAAACUCACAAGUUUUCUUUGUUUGAAACAGGGACGAAGACUAUGUCCUAAUCAAAAUUGUGAAGCUUGAUUUUUUUUGAAAUGUCGUGCCCAAAUUUUGUCAGCACAAAGGCGGUUUGAGAAGGGGAAAGAAAAUUGGUUCGAUCUGCAGGAACCCUCUAUGAGGAAAGCAUGGUUCAGGGGGCAAGGAAUUUUGUUCAUUCUGCAGAGAUCCUCCAGCAAAAAAGCAUGGCUUAGGUAAGUUCAUUUUUGGCUUUUCAGGACCUUCUUGGAUAAUGAGACUUAAUUUAAAAUUUUCAGGACUGGCCUGGAUAAUGGGAUUAAUUUAAAGUUCUCAGGACCCUCCUGGAUAAUGGGAUCUAGUUUUAAGUUUUAAGACCUUCAUAGAUAAUAAGAUUUACCGUAAGUUUUACCUUUAGGAUAUAGGAUUUAGCUUUGAAGUUGUCAUUCUUAAGAUGAGAUUUAAUUUUAACUUUUCAGGACCCUCCUGGACAAUGGGACCUAGUUAAAAUUCAAAACAUUCAUGAGUAACGGGUUCUAGCAUAAGCUCUACUUUGAGGAAAUAUAAGUUGGUUCUAAAGUUUUCAUUCUUAGGACGAGAUUCAAUUGGAAAUUUUCAGGACCUUCCUGAAUAAUGGGACCUAGUUUUAAGACCUCCGUUAGAUAAUGAGAUUUAGCAUAAGUUUCUCCUUUAGGAAGUUGGAUUUAGUUUUGAAGUUUUCACUCUUAAGAUGAGAUUUGAUUUUAAUUUUCAGGACCCUCCUGGAUAAUGGGGCUUAGCUUUUAAACUCUUAGAGAUAUUGGGUAACAUGAUUCAAUUAACAUUUACAAAUGUCCCAAGCUACCAAACUAGGGCAGAAAAGUUUAUUUUGUUUUGUCUGUUUUGUUGUAACUAGGUUCAAAGGAAAAGCAGUUUCAAGAAGAGGACAAUUCAAGCUCAGCAAUCAGGCACCCACAUGGAGAAACAAGGGAAAAUAGUUCGAGUUUCAAGGGAAAGUAGUUAAAGUUCAACAAUCAGGCACCCACCUGGAGAACAAGGAAAACAGGUCAAGUCUCAAGAAAAAAC